rnacentral:lncRNA from 1 species
GGCGGUGACGACAGUUCCCCGCCCGCCCGGGUUAGACUGACUGCCCCCGGCGGCCCAUCACGUACGUGUUGGAACGUUACGUGUUGGGGGGGGCCCCGGUCAGUCGUCAUCCAUCAUCGAUAUGGGGCCAUCGCCGUGUGAAUGUGGUGGUCGUGGUAGACUCAGGUAGAUUAAUGUAGCGGCAACCAAUAUAAUCUUUUGGAGUGCCGGAUGGUGGGCGGAUGUUGUUUGGACACACGGACAGGAG